AUUGAACGCUGGCGGCAUGCCUUACACAUGCAAGUCGAACGGCAGCACGGGGCAACCUGGUGGCGAGUGGCGAACGGGUGAGUAAUGCAUCGGAACGUGCCAUUGAGUGGGGGACAACGUAGCGAAAGUUGCGCUAAUACCGCAUAUUCUGUGAGCAGGAAAGCAGGGGACCGCAAGGCCUUGCGCUCUUUGAGCGGCCGAUGUCAGAUUAGCUAGUUGGUGAGGUAAAGGCUUACCAAGGCGACGAUCUGUAGCGGGUCUGAGAGGAUGAUCCGCCACACUGGAACUGAGACACGGUCCAGACUCCUACGGGAGGCAGCAGUGGGGAAUUUUGGACAAUGGGCGCAAGCCUGAUCCAGCCAUGCCGCGUGAGUGAAGAAGGCCU
rnacentral:rRNA from 1 species